CCUACGGGUGGCAGCAGUAGGGAAUUUUCCACAAUGGACGAAAGUCUGAUGGAGCAACGCCGCGUGAGUGAAGAAGGGUUUCUGCUCGUAAAGCUCUUUUUGUAGUGAAGUAAGAUAGAGGUAGUAACUGUCCUUUAUUUUACGUUAAUUACUUAGAAAGUCACGGCUAACUACGUGCCAGAAGCCGCGGUAAUACGUAGGUGGCAAGCGUUGUCCGGAUUUAUUGGGCGGAAAGCGAGUGCAGGCGGUUCGAUAAGUCUGAUGUGAAAGCCUUCGGCUCAACCGGAGAAUUGCAUCAGAAACUGUUGAACUUGAGUGCAGAAGAGGAGAGUGGAACUCCAGGUGUAGCGGUGGAAUGCGUAGAUAUAUGGAAGAACACCAGUGGCGAAGGCGGCUCUCUGGUCUGCAACUGACGCUGAGGCUCGAAAGCAUGGGUAGCGAACAGGAUUAGAUACCCUAGUAGUC
rnacentral:rRNA from 1 species